ACCGCCGCGGCCGCCACGUUUACCAGCCGGAGCCUCAAAUCAUGUCCCUUUGUGGUGAUAAAGAGGACACAGCCUGGUGUGAAGCUACACUUAUUACGGAAGGAUGCCAGCCGGGAUCCGAACACGUCCGAUAUCAUCCAAGAGAAUGUGGCAGCUGAAGGGGGAGAGGCCAAGGGUGAAGACAUUUAGCCACCCCCCCUGAAGUACAUGGCAUCAUUCAACCCUCUUGGUGAGCUGCAGGAAUGUGCUUCCCAUUGCAGUGCACCAGCUCCAUGUACUGAUUUUGGUGUGAACUUGAUGGGGUUGGAGGAAACUCGACUUGGCCAUCAAGCUCACCACAAUAUAACAUGAAAAGUGAAAAUUGCUGCACACAACAGUCUGUCGUCUGCACCGGGAGGCAAGGCAGCUCAAAGCCCAGGCUGUUACAAAUCCUGGGCAGUUUUUGCCCAGAGCCAGCAAUUUUUUAGAUCCAAUAGGGAUGGAUUUUUUCUGAGGUCAGGUUCAACAUGCUGCAAGAUGCCAAGAUCUAAGCCUAGUAGGAGAUAUGGGUUACAAGAGAGGAGGUUUGCUCUGGCCUUAUACUUUCAAAGUCCAAAUGCUAAUAGAUUUCUGAGCACAGUAUUUCACUUGUCUUCAGUUUCAACACUUCAAUCAUGACUCAGGGGUAUUUCAGUACAUGUUGGCUGGAGCAAACAGACUCUGACAGCCCUGCAGCAAAGAGCACAGGCUUUGUCAAAAGAAGAGAAACUUUGUGGGAUUUGCCAUUAUUUAGUAUUACUCUUGUUACGCCAAGAAUUUUUUUCCAUAUACUUUGCCAAAUAUUGCAAGUAAUGUACCAUUGUUGGGCUUGCUUGUUAUAAAUCAGAUCUUGUUCAAUUAACAAGCUUUGGGUGUCUGCCACUUUCCAGUUGUAAUGCAAGGAAUCAUUUAUCUUCCCUGCUAGAUAUCACACGUAAUGCACCAUUGUUGGUUUUGCCUGUUAUAAAUCAGAUCUUGUUCAGUUAAAAAGCUUUAGGUGUCUGCCACUUUCCAAUUGUAAUGCAAGGAAUCCCCUGCCAGAUAUCGCAUGUAAUGCACCAUUGUUGGUUUUGCCUAUUAUAAAUCAGAUCUUGUUCAGCUCACAAGCUUUGAAUAUCUACCAUUGUUUAUUUUAGGUGUAGUGCUUGGAAGCAUUUGUUCUCUUACCUACCCAACAGUAUGCAAUAUUUUAUUGUGGAUUUUGCCUGUUAUAUUUAAUCUUGUUCAGGUAACAAGCUUUUGGUGUCUGCCUUACCUAAUAUGUCCUGCAGUGACACUUGGCUUGGUUUCAUAAUGUGAAAUACAGCAUGUAAUUUCAUCACACUAAGUGUCUAUCAUCACGUGUCUGGCAUCAUUAAUGUGGCUUCCAGGAGUAAUCUUGUUUGUAUUACAGCUUGCAAUUUUUUUUCUGCUUUAUAUGAUAUACAUAAUCACAUAGGUAUGAUUUACAAAAUGUAAUGGCAGUUGAUAUUCUUGACUAAUGCCUCAUAAACCUUGUGAAAAAUAAU